CUGAAUACGCGCACACGAUUGAUAAUACAGGAUAUGGCAGUGUGAGAUUGGAUUUUGUCCUUUCCAAUCGGUGCCGACUCAAAUCCUAGAAGCAAAUAAAUAUGGAAUGAGAAACAAGAUUAGCUAGAUAAUAUUUUUAAGAUAAAUUGAUAAAAAUAAUUGCAGGUAAUAUAAUAUUCGGCAAAGUGCGAAUUGUAAGAGGAGUCUAUCUCAUUUCUGUAAUAAAAGUGUCACGAUGCAUUUGGUGAUUCCGGGACACUUUGUAAAUAUGUUGCAAAUCUUGCAAUUUCGAAAGAACAAACGAAUCAUUCUGUUUCAUUCUGAAAUUGUCUUGGAAAAUGACAUAACGUAAUAAUAAAAAUCAAGAGUAAUAAUUAUUAUAAAAUGAUUGAGAAGAAAUUAUUAGAUUCAGAAUUCGAAUGGAUUUUUCGAACUUGCACGAAUGCUAUCAACGUUUAUAUAACGAUGAUGCAUUUUAUAUUUUAUGACAACAUUUUAAAUUUACAAGCAGAAAAUUCUGAGAUUUCCCUUUUAACAUAUACACUAUUCAUGACAGCGUUGGAUCUUUUCGCAUACUGUAUUUACCAGUGAACAGAAUAAAUUGUAAACAGAAAGAAAAAUUGUAAUAAAAAGAGACAUUAAUAAUGUAUAUCA